UACGGGGGGGGUAAGCGUUGUUCGGAAUUACUGGGCGUAAAGGGCUCGUAGGCGGCCAACUAAGUCAGACGUGAAAUCCCUCAGCUUAACUGGGGAACUGCGUCUGAUACUGGAUGGCUUGGAUUCGGGAGAGGAAUGCGGAAUUCCAGGUGUAGCGGUGAAAUGCGUAGAUAUCUGGAGGAACACCGGUGGCGAAGGCGGCAUCCUGGACCAACAUUGACGCUGAGGAGCGAAAGCCAGGGGAGCAAACGGG
rnacentral:rRNA from 1 species